rnacentral:tRNA from 1 species
AGAAAGCAAUGCAAGAACUGCUAAUUCAUGCUACCAUGACUACACUCAUGGCUUUCUU